UUAAAAUAUUAAUGAAUAGUAAAUUUUUUUAACUAUAAAUAGCCAUGGGAGGGAAGGGUAUUUUGCACCAAGAAAAGAGGAAUCAAGUGAGAGCUUGAGAAAUAGAGAAGAAAGAGCUAGGGAGAAAUUUUUAGUUGCAAGAAGAGUAGAGGUUCUGAAGGGUUUCGGGGAAAUAAAUUCAGAUCAAGAGGAAUCUGGAAUAGAGAUGAAGGAAUGUCGCCUCACAUAAGUGCCAAGGAAAGGGAGGAGUAGAAGAACUAUAAUUAGAAUCUUUUUACAUGUAUAGACUUAUAUUAACUAGGAAAUUUUAAAGGGUGAGAUUACGGAAUGUUACCGUAAAUGUAAUGUUAAUUAUCUGAAAAUUUGGG
rnacentral:sRNA from 1 species